CAGCCGCCGCGGUAAUACGAAGGGUGCAAGCGUUAAUCGGAAUCACUGGGCGUAAAGGGAGCGUAGGCGGCGUGGUAAGUCAGAUGUGAAAUCCCGGGGCUCAACCCCGGAACUGCAUCCGAUACUGCCAUGCUAGAGGAUUGGAGAGGUAGCUGGAAUUCUUGGUGUAGCAGUGAAAUGCGUGGAGACCAAGAGGAACACUCGUGGCGAAAGCGAGCUACUGGACAAUAUCUGACGCUGAGGCUCGAAGGCCAGGGUAGCGAAAGGGAUUAGAUACCCCCGUAGUCCCUGUCUCUUAUAC
rnacentral:rRNA from 1 species